GAUGAACGCUAGCUACAGGCUUAACACAUGCAAGUCGAGGGACCGGCGCAAGGGUGAGUAAAACGUAACCAACCUGCCCUUUACUCGGAGAUAGCCUUUCGAAAGAAAGAUUAAUACCCGAUAUAAAGGAUGGGGAUGCGUUCAAUUAGGUUUUUGGUGAGGUAACGGCCAAGCAAGCCUUCGAUGGAUAGGGGUUCUGAGAGGAAGGGCCCCCACAGUGGAACUGAGACACAGGCCAAACUCGUACGGGAGGCUGCAGUGAGGAAUAUUUGUCAAGGGGCGGUAGCCUGAACCAGCCAAGUAGCGUGAAGGAUGAAGGCUUAUGGGUCGUAAACUUCUUUUAGAUAAGAAUAUGUAUUAUAUGAAUAAGGAUCGGCUAACUCCGUGCCAGCCGCCGCGGUAAUAC
rnacentral:rRNA from 1 species